rnacentral:rRNA from 1 species
CCUACGGGGGGCAGCAGAGAGGAAUAUUGGGCAAUGGGCGCGAGCCUGAACCAGCCAAGUAGCGGGAAGGAUGACGGCCCUACGGGUGGUAAACUUCUUUUAUAAAGGAAUAAAGUGAGGCACGUGUGCCUUUUUGUAUGUACUUUAUGAAUAAGGAUCGGCUAACUCCGUGCCAGCAGCCGCGGUAAUACGGAGGAUUCAAGCGUUAUCCGGAUUUAUUGGGUUUAAAGGGUGCGUAGGCGGUCGGAUAAGUUAGAGGUGAAAUCCCGGGGCUCAACUUCGGAAUUGCCUCUGAUACUGUUCGGCUAGAGUGUAGUUGCGGUAGGCGGAAUGUGUGGUGUAGCGGUGAAAUGCUUAGAGAUCAUGCAGAACACCGAUUGCGAAGGCAGCUUACCACGCUACUUCUGACGUUGAGGCACGAAAGCGUGGGUAUCAAACAGGAUUAGAUACCCGUGUAGUC